GCUGUUGACUCCCGUGAGGGCAGAGUAGCCUUGCAGAGAGAUCUUGAGACAUUAAAGGACUGAGCAAUCACCAACCACAUGAAGUUCAGCAAGAGCAAGUGCCAGAUUCUGCAUCUGGAAUGGGGCAGUCCUGGCGAUAUAUAUAGAGACUGGGGGAUGAGAGGCUGGAGAGCAACCACACAGAAAGCGACCUGUGGUUUUGGUGGAUGGCAAAGUUGAAUGUGAGCCAGCAGCAUGUCCUGGCAGCCCAAAGAGCCAGCCAUACCCUGGAAAGGGUCAGGGUAGUGAUCAAGUUGUCAGAAGCAUGCUUUCUCCCUUACAAGAAUUAAUGUCCCUCCAUAUCAGAUAGACAUCAGUGAUGCAAAUGGGGAAAGACCUGUCUUAACCAGAUACCCCUGAUAUCUCUGGCUCCAUAUCCAAAGUUGAGAGGGAUUGAAGUUCUCAGAUAUCCUAGUAACUCUUAACAAUGGGAAGCAGACAUACCAAACAUUCUAGCCAAGACCACAAGCCAAACUAAUUUAUGCCUCUAUUGGAGAUCAUGUGGAGAUCAUGUGGAUAAGUUUGCUAUCCAGAGUGAAAGAGUGAUUACUGUUUAAGAGAUAUCAGUGCCUAUCUCUCUUCUUCGACUUCUGCUUUAUCAGCAACUAACAACAGCUAUGUUUGGCUGCCUCAUCACCUGGACUUCAAGAUGUGAAUUUCUUUCUAUGACAUUCUGGGGGUGUAUGUUACCUUUAUAAUAAGAGCCAGUUAUGUUUCUGUCAGAAAUCCGUGAAUUUUUAUUGUGAAGUCUAUAAUUUUUGUGCAGUGAGAUUUUUUCAGAGCUCCAAACAGUACUGCAAAGAUCUCAUUGAUGUGGCUGGUAAAGGGCAAAUUGCUGGCAUGUUCACCUCUGAGAGGAAUUUAAGGACACCUAAAACUAUCACUCUUUCUGCCUCCAGGUGUUUGUACUUAGAGUUCUGAGAAAAAGGCCUUGCUUCGAGGUGGCCAGAGCCUGAUGAAGACUUUGCUGUGACACCUUGAAUGUACCUGUUGAGUCUGUGAGAGCAAGCAUUAUUCUCCAAGCAGAGAAAGGCAGCUUUUGAGUGGCAAAGAACAUAUUGGUUUACUAAGAAAAAAAAAAAUGAAAUAAUUAGUCUUCACAAAAAUUAAAAGAGCAGAGAGGCAGCUGCUCAGCUAUGUUGAAGCAGAACAACUUCAGCUGGUCACAGCUGCUCUUUGAGGGUGUGUAAAAUUUAACAUAGCUUUCUAAGUUUCACCAGCCAUUCACUAUCACAGACUGUGGUACUUGAAUAUGGGUCUACAGGAAUUCAACCACAUACUGCUGUCCUACAUAUUAGAGUCACAGCUUGCUCUUACAACUUGAGAGCCAGCUGAAGAGAGGACAUCAGUGUCUAUGAAAAACAGAUACCAGGGAAAAAAAGUCUCAUGAUGUGUACUCAAGAUGUUCAUACUAGAAGGAUAUAGCACCAGCUGAGGUAACAGUGAAGCUAAAAGAAAAUAAAUAGUGGAGACCAAAAACUUAUGCCUGCCUCUGAAAGCCUUGAAUGACAUCUGCUAAAUGGCAGUGCUACUCAAUUUGCAAACAAAUAGCUAAAAAGGGCAUGGACAUGUAGAAUGAAUGGAUAACCUUUUUUCUGUGCUUUAUAGAGGUGAAGUGUGGGACGGUGGAAGGAAUGACAUUGGUAAAGGAACUAACUUUGAAGUGAUACAGAAAAAUGAACAAGGGAGGAAAAUAAAGGGAAUGGGAAGAAAUGGAGCAAGAAGAACAUUAUUUUGUGUAAAUUAAAUUUAAAUAAAAAAGGAUGACACUGGCUCAGAUCUUGUCAUACUAAGGUAUUUUAAGGCCAACAGUAAUAAGAGAAUUAUAUAUAAUGUGAAUGCCCCAGGAGUGCCAAGCACACCUUUUCUCUUUUCUAAUAAUGAAGCUGCUGAAGCACAUUUGUCAUGAAGAUGAAUAAACACUCUCUAUACUGACCAAAGAGGUAGUCUGGGUCACUUCGUAUCUUUAGAGCUCAUUUGCAUCAAGGUGAAGAGUAGUGAAGUCUAGUGGGGAAAAAAGAAGGAAGAAAAUGGGAUGGUGACUUCAUCACCUCCCUGAACAGCCUGUUUCAAUGCCUGGCCACUAUUUCAGAGAAUACUUUUUUUUUUUCUAAUAAUCAACUGAAACCUAUCUGGUGUAACUGGAAGUUGUUCUCUCUCAUCCUAUCACCAUUACAUGAGAGGAGAGGCUGAUGUCCACCUUGCCACAAUGUCCUUUCAGUUGUACAGGUCUCCUCUCAGGUCUCAGCUUUCCUCACAAGACUUGGCAGGCAACGUUGAUGGUAGGUGGACAGUUGGACUAGACAAUCUUAGAGGUCUUUUCCAACCUUAAUGA